UUUCGACGGUAUGGUAUUGGCUUACCGUGGCAGUGACGGUUAACGGGGGAUUAGGGUUCGAUUCCGGAGAGGGAGCCUGAGAAACGGCUACCACAUCUAAGGAAGGCAGCAGGCGCGCAAAUUACCCAAUUCUAACAGCAUAAGAGAGGUAGUGACAAGAAAUAACAAUACAAGGCAGUUAAAAUGCUUUGUAAUUGGAAUGAUAGAAAUUUAAACACUUUUUAAAGUAUCAAUUGGAGGGCAAGUCUGGUGCCAGCAGCCGCGGUAAUUCCAGCUCCAAUAGCGUAUAUUAAAAUUGUUGCAGUUAAAAAGCUCGUAGUUGAAUUUCUGCUAAAAAUAACCGGUCUGCUUUUAACAAAAGUGGUAUCUUGGUGUGUUUUUAGCAAUAAUGUCCUUUGAAAUGUGUUUUACUUUGUUGUAAAAGACAAUAUUCAGGAUUUUUACUUUGAGAAAAUUAGAGUGUUUCUAGCAAGCUAAUGUUUUGAAUACUGCAGCAUGGAAUAAUAAAAUAGAAUUUUAGUUCUACAUUGUUGGUUUUAAGAGCUGAAUUAAUGAUUGAUAGGGACAGUUGGGGGCAUUUGUAUUUAACUGU
rnacentral:rRNA from 1 species